GCGAACUUCGGCCUUCUACCGUACAACAAAGCCGGCGCAUUCCCGUGCUUCAUGCUGCCACCGUUGGUAUACACCCAUGCGGACGCAUACAACACAAGUUACUUCUCUACUAUGAACGACUCGGCGACGUUUCUUCAGUAUCUUCGUAAUUCCACUGUAAACGUAACGAUCCCUAUGGCUGUGUCCGCGACCCUCAAGGGCCGUUGGUUCACGGCGGCUGCUAAACGCGAACGCGGUCCAACAAUUUUCGAUGCAUGCGACACCUUUGCCAACGUGGAGGACAAGCCAACGUACUCUCUCUGCCAGACAUCCGGCCAAUACAAGCACAAAUC
rnacentral:lncRNA from 1 species